GGAGAGGUGGCGGAGUCCGGUCGAACGUGCCUCCCUGCUAAGGAGGUGACCACGCAAGUGGUCCGUGGGUUCAAAUCCCACCCUCUCCG
rnacentral:tRNA from 1 species